AUGAGAUCAAUAUAUGGGAAGAGAAAGACAUGAGGAGUUGAGUAUGAUGAAGAGGCUGUACAUGGCGUAGUAAUACUAUUUACCCGAGUAACUUCCAAGGGUUAAACCAAAGUUACCCUAGUUAUCCUAGUAUACUAGUUAUACUAGUUACCCGGGUAACUUUGGAUGAAGAAGAGAAGUCCUAUUCCCUUUGCUAAGGCAUCAGACCGUUGCAAGGGAAGAGGAGACACGUGUGACAGGCUGGAGAAGAGCUGGAUAAAGCAAAAGGAGCUUUAUGCACAAGGAAGAAGCUCAUUGGAUGGUUUGAAUUACAGCAAACCUUAUCUCUUGUAAUAGUGCCUCUUUAUGAAACCCUCAUCCUAGUGUUGCCUCCUCAUAUAUAUUGUAAACUCUGAUCAGAUUAAUAAUUAAGAAGUUUGGGAUUAUCUCUCUAGACUCUUUCUCUCUUGUUCAUGAUGAUUCUUAAAUACUCUUAAACAUGAUUACUACCUAAUCUUUCGACAAAUCUCCCAUUAAUCUCCUCUAAUCUUCCUUUAAUCUCUCAAUACCUACUCUAUUCUCUAAAAUCAUAGGGAGAGGGAUGGAAUCCACGAGGAUGUGUGGGAACCUGAGUUUCACUUGAAGGGUAACUACCCCGGGAUAUUCGGAAACGUUGAACGGAAUCGGGAAGAUGUCCAGAAUUCGGGGACGAAUCCCUUUCUAGUGGGGGAGAAUUGUAACAUCCCGGGCCUGGCCCAAAAGGAAAUUCAAGUGCUGGAGGCCCAAGAAGGAGAAACCCUAGACAUGACCCCUUCCACUUCUUAUAAAAGGAGAAGCUCCCUUAGGGUUUAGCCACAAGAGAGACAGCAAGCGAAGCCCUGCCCGAGCAGAACCCCGCCGCCGCCGCCUCUAGCCGCCGCCACCCCGCCUCCAUCGAAGCCGGCCACCAGCCACCACCUGCGAAGCCCUAGUCGCCGCACCCGAGCCCCUAGCCGUCGCCUCCUUGAUUCGGUUUCGUGCAAACAGUUGAGAUCUGAACUACAAGGUAAGACCGUGAUCUCUAGUUCUAUGUCAUUGGAAAUGACGGAUCCUAAACCCUCCUCUCUCUUGUGAACCCUUCUUAUGAACCAGAUUCCGGGAAGUGAUCAUCUCUCCCAUUCUAGAUCCAGAUCUACCACUGCGAUAAGCUAAGGUGAGGACUUGGCUUUGAACUUGCCUCAUGUUGAGUAACCAAUGGGACUUAGUCCUUUGUUAAUCAGAUCUAGACUUGUGAUGUGUAUUGAUGUGAUAUGUGGUAGAUCUAGAUGUUAUGAAAUGUGUAUGUGUUGUUGUGAUGAGGUUGUAUGCAUACUAGGGUUGUUAAGGAAGUGAUGAUAAGAUGUUGAGACGUGAUGUGAAUGAUAAGAUGUUGAGACGUGAUGUAAAUGGAUAAGUGAGUGACGUUAAGGAUAAGUAUGAGGUUGGGGAAUCAUAUAGGGUAGAGGGCGUACGUGGAUAGUAGCUCUACGCUAGGCACCCAUAGGAGCUGUGGGGUAGUGUCCCGUUGGAGCACCCACAGGAAUAUGGGGUAGUGGUCUAGCGAGAGCUACCCACGGAGAAUGAGGAGACGAUCCAACCGCGAGAGGCGGGAUAUAAAAACGUGCAUUGUAGGUUUCUUAGCUCAUGGUCGGGUAUUUUGGUUUUCUGUAUAAUAGAUCUUAUUAGCUCAUGACUUGUGAUUGCUUGCUCUUCCUGAGUUGAGUUCGUGAGUUCCCAGAACCUGUCCUCACUGAGUAUUCCGUACUCACCCCUCUUCCUGCAGGUACGGCCGAGAGGGAGCGGGAGUAGAAGUCCGUAUGGUGCAAGUGUUUUCUUGAGUUUUUCCUUUAUUUUCAAACCCUUUUUCUUUAAGUUUUCGUUGGAUAUUUUGGCCUUUAAGUUGAGUUCGGAUUUGUGUAAGACUAUUUGAAUUUUAAAAAGAUUUAUUGGAUGAAAUGAGUUGUAUUACUGUAGUUGAUGAGGAUCACCGGGCUAGGGCCGUUACAGAUUCUGUCAACAAAGAAUUCUCAACAAGCUACCACCAGCAGCAGAGAAUCCUCAAGCUGAUCUAGAAAAUGUGAAACAAGGCUUGAGAAAAAUACAUAAUUAUGUUGUUGAGAAUUCUGUUCAACCUUAACCGGUUCCACAAAAGGAGAUUGAGUAGCCAAAUCCGGCUUGAAGAGAAAAAGGAUGAAAUCAGACUGUGUGUGGAACAUCCUCAUCCUGAGGAAUUUUAAAAAAUUGAUGGUAACCAUAAUAGUAGUUCGGGAGUACUAAGCUAUAUGCAAGCUACUAAAUCUGCGAAAGCAAAGCUGAGGCUACAUGACACUUCUUCCCCCGGGCAACAAGGGUCUGACAAAACCAUUAGACGUUACUCGCUACCAUCUUCAAGUAAUAAUGCAAGAGUCACAUCCGAUUUUCCUGAAACAACAAGAGGCUCAAACUUGGGUGGCAAAACCGGGAAAAGACCAAAAAAACUCAAUGGUUAGUGUCCCAAGCAAUACAAACAAGAUUCUCUCUCACAAGAAGGUCUAUGCUGUGAUUCUACGUUUUCUAUCAACUAAUUAUUUAUUGAAUUGUUUUUGGGUUUUGUAGGGAAGACAGCUCCUGUAUAGCGCUUGAAAAAUUGUAAGGCCUUUGAUGUUUCUCUAUAUAAGUUUGAAAACGAAAAAAAGCGUGAGGAUUUCUUGCGAUAGCCAAGGUUUCAGAUCCAAACAUGGCGUUGAAAAUAUGGGACAUGGCUAUUCAAGUUCAUGGAGCAGCUGGUGUAUGCUCGGAUACAUUUUAAGCACAUUCGAAGCUUUAGAUAUUUUUCGGAUGUGCGAGUUGGAUUCCUUGGACACAAAAGAAUCAGAGUUGCCAUCACAAUCGCUAUAGCUUCUAUCUUAAAGUAUUAUAGUAGUAUUUCAUUACGGAGUUAAUUCUGACCAUUCGUGACAAUGGUGGAAUUCUCUUACAUGACCUUCUGUGCAACACUCGGUGUCUGUAAACCGAUAUGUUAACAAGCUAUAUUACAAAUAAAUAAAUUAAACAGUAGUAUUGAAUA